AAUUAGAAAAAAGCCUAGAAAAACGUCCCAUUUCAUCUGCAGCAUCAAUUCUCAAUACUUGAGGCAGCCGUGCCUUCCUCCGCUGUCACCCACCAGUCGCCUUCCUCCGCCGACAGCCACCAUUCUCCAACCUCAGUUUCUUCUUUUUUUCAGUAGGUACUUCUUGAUCAAAGCAAGUUCUUGAAAUUCAACUACUACAUGGAUUCUCUAGUACGCCGUGGAUUACUAUUGCCGGGGACAAAGGUGCGGGACUUAAAUGCAAGGAUGCCGGUGAAGAUAGUUUUGUUGGUUCAGAACUUGCGAGGAGAAUAGCCAAGACGGCUCCCAUCAUUGGAGGUUCUGAGGCCUCUUCCCUUUU